CAAGUAUCAACAAGCUGAUGGGGGAACCGUCCCUGAGAGAACCGAAGAGCAUCGUCAACAACAAGGAGGGCGAGAUGCCUUUGUGUCAAUCCCAGUUCUUGAAGAAAAACAAAACAAAACAAACAAAAUUCCAACAGAGGUUGACCGACAUCCAUCACAACGUCCAGAUGACAGACAGAGCAGAAGGCGGGGGCAAAAUUACGUCACGUGGACAAAGUCACCACAGGCUGUUGUAACAGCGGCAGUAAGAUGCAUCUGACAGUCACCUCUUUGGGGAGAGAAAGGAUGGGGCGGAAAAAGCGAACAGCUGUCACGACAUGGAAGGAGCAUAAUAAAAUCCGAAAGUGAAAA